UACAGAGGGUGCGAGCGUUAAUCGGAAUUACUGGGCGUAAAGGGUGCGUAGGUGGCUACGUAAGUUAGGUGUGAAAGUCCUGGGCUUAACCUGGGGAUUGCGCCUGAUACUGUGUAGCUAGAGUCCUGUAGAGGAAAGUGGAAUUUCCGGUGUAGCGGUGAAAUGCGUAGAUAUCGGAAGGAACAUCGGUGGCGAAGGCGACUUUCUGGACAGAGACUGACACUGAGGCACGAAAGCAUGGGGAGCAAACAGG
rnacentral:rRNA from 1 species